AACGAACGCUGGCGGCGUGCCUAAUACAUGCAAGUUGAGCGCUAACGGAUGGUACUUGUACCAACUGGAUGAGCAGCGGACGGGUGAGUAACGCGUGGGUCAUCUGCCUUUGAGCGGGGGACGACAUCUGGAAACGAAUGAUGAUACCACAUCAAAACUUUAACGACAGGAAUCAGGUUUGAAAGAUGCAAUUGCAUCACGCAAGGGUGAUCCCGCGUUGUGUUAGCUAGUUGGGGAGGUAAAGGCUCACCAAGGCGAAGAUACAUAGCCGACCUGAGAGGGUGAUCGGCCACCAUGGGACUGAGACACGGCCCCAACCUCCACGGGGGGCAGCAGUAGGGAAUCUUCGGCAAUGGACGAAAGGCUGACCGAGCAACGCCGCGGGAGGGAAGAAGGGUCUCCGAUCGUAAAACUCUGUUGGUAGAGAAGAACGUGGGGGAGAGUGGAACGCUCAUCAAGUGACGGUACCUACACAGAAAGCGACGGCUAACUACGUG
rnacentral:rRNA from 1 species